rnacentral:lncRNA from 1 species
AUCGUACGAAUCUUGACGUCAACUCUAAGUGUCUCCCACCGAAAUGGGAAAAAUGUCGAAAUAACAAUAUUACAACGAAGACGCCGUGUUUCCUAAGUUGGAAGUUGGUAUCGUGUUAAGGCUCGAUGAUUUCUUUGAUGAACGAAUAGACAGGAAAAAAAGAAAGAAAGAUAGAUAUA